UACGAAGGGUGCAAGCGUUACUCGGAAUUACUGGGCGUAAAGCGUGCGUAGGUGGUGAGUUAAGUCUGUUGUGAAAGCCCCGGGCUCAACCUGGGAAUGGCAAUGGAUACUGGCGAGCUAGAGUGUGUCAGAGGAUGGUGGAAUUCCCGGUGUAGCGGUGAAAUGCGUAGAGAUCGGGAGGAACAUCAGUGGCGAAGGCGGCCAUCUGGGACAACACUGACGCUGAGGCACGAAAGCGUGGGGAGCAAACAGG
rnacentral:rRNA from 1 species